AAAUUGAACUGUGGUCCAUUCACUUCCGUUUCGAUUCAGCUUAUACUUUGUUUUGUGUAGAAAAUAUUAUUCAAUGUUCAAACAACUCAUUGAACUGAACAUUCUCAUUCAAUGUUGUUUAUGGCAGAACCAUUAAGACUCUACUCUAUUCUGUAGAACGACGAGCCUGUUGCUGACGCUCUCAAUGCAGGAAGUUCCGGUACAUCGCAGGGUGCCAUGAGGAAAGGAAAAAUUACUUCUUUUCCAUCACUCCCCAGAAAGAAGAACGAAACUUCCCAAGUUGGAAUGAAACCUAGAACUCAACGUGCUGAGAAUAGACCGAAGCAAGUACUUCCUGGUUUACGUGGUCCUUCUACCAACCAGGGAUCUUCAGCACGCCCGGAACAACACUCAACAACAGAUUAAAGAAAUGACGGAUUAAAGAAAUUAGAGCAUCUCUGGGUCAAAUAUCGAGCUAAAAGGCUAAGUACUUAUCAUGUAGCUCUCGUAUACCUGUUCCUCAGAAACGCCGAUGUCAACGUUUAAUAUUUCCUCCGAUGUAUCACUGUAUCAUAUCCCUCCUAUUCGAUCGAUGAACUUUUACUUAGUCACGGCAAUACCCAUACACACUCUUUACAGAUACAUGGGCCGUAGAUUGUGCAAACCAAUGAUCAUUCAACAAGAGCAAUGAACAAUAUAUAUUUUGAAGAAAAAAAAUAUCCUUAUCCUUAUUCUUAUAUUCCCUGAACCAAAAUUCACAGUCCUAUUCCUACAUCGGCUACCAUUUGUGAAAUGACUCUCCUCGGCGAAAGCCCAAAUGGUGGAUACGUGACGAGUGACUAAGCCUUUUGGAUUGAGCCGUGAACGAGUCAACACGUUAAUCGACAUCUUCAUUUGACUAGUUUGUCGGGAUUCGCCUUCAUUGUAGUUCCGCGAGUUCUAGCGAGUGUAACUGUGGAACAGAGAAGAGGCAUCAUUUGAUCGAUACAAACAGACGAGCCAACCGGAAACCGCAAAGGAGUCAUUCAGUUCCCAUAAUACAAUACAAUUCCUUUCGACCGUGUCCUGAACCGACGGGAACAGUCGGUGGAAAAUCGUCCUGACAUCAUAGCUCUAUCAACAACGCGCGCUAGUAGUACUUCUGGUUAAUUUCACAAGUAUGUUGACAGCAUGCAUCGCCGUACAGGCAGUGUUUGGAUUUCGAUCAAAAUCGAAUGAUACACGAUGUGUCAUGCAAGUAACCUCUCACGAACAUAUAACCAAAUAUAUGAGGACCAUUCAGAUACUUGUAUGAAUGACAGUAAUCACUUGUGUUACACUAAGUGAUUAAACCAAGUGAGGAACGAAGACUGUUAUUUGCAUAUUCGAGCUGUAUCAAACAUCGCAAACCAUUUUCGAAGCCUGCAUACAAGUUU